GCCGCCGUAGCUCAGCCCCGGUAGAGCACCGGCCUCGUACGGUUUAAAUUAAAAAAUCAGGGAGAGCCGGGGGUCGCGGGUUCGAGUCCCGCCGGCGGCU
rnacentral:tRNA from 1 species